rnacentral:rRNA from 1 species
CCUACGGGAGGCAGCAGUGGGGAAUAUUGGACAAUGGGGGGAACCCUGAUCCAGCCAUGCCGCGUGUGUGAAGAAGGCCCUCGGGUUGUAAAGCACUUUCAGUGAGGAAGAACGCCUGGUGGUUAAUACCCAUCAGGAAAGACAUCACUCACAGAAGAAGCACCGGCUAACUCCGUGCCAGCAGCCGCGGUAAUACGGAGGGUGCGAGCGUUAAUCGGAAUUACUGGGCGUAAAGCGCGCGUAGAUGGCUUGAUAAGCCGGUUGUGAAAGCCCCGGGCUCAACCUGGGAACGGCAUCCGGAACUGUCAAGCUAGAGUGCAGGAGAGGAAGGUAGAAUUCCCGGUGUAGCGGUGAAAUGCGUAGAGAUCGGGAGGAAUACCAGUGGCGAAGGCGGCCUUCUGGACUGACACUGACACUGAGGUGCGAAAGCGUGGGUAGCAAACAGGAUUAGAUACCCGGGUAGUC